ACCCUCGGCUCUUCCCCUGUCACAUCUCAUCCAUCCCGUGGGGUCAAGCCUGGUCAGCACUCGGAUGGGAAACUCCCUGGAAAACCAGGAGCUGAGGGAG
rnacentral:rRNA from 1 species